rnacentral:rRNA from 1 species
UACGAAGGGGGCUAGCGUUGCUCGGAAUUACUGGGCGUAAAGGGAGCGUAGGCUGACAGUUUAGUCAGAGGUGAAAGCCCAGGGCUCAACCUUGGAAUUGCCUUUGAUACUGACUGUCUUGAGUACGGGAGAGGUGUGUGGAACUCCGAGUGUAGAGGUGAAAUUCGUAGAUAUUCGGAAGAACACCAGUGGCGAAGGCGACACACUGGCCCGUUACUGACGCUGAGGCUCGAAAGCGUGGGGAGCAAACAGG